UGGCGCAACGUACGGGCUGGCGAUAUGAGUGUUUUUAAUCUUGACAAAAUUUAUGUAGUGAUGGUUCUGACGAAAACGAAACUCAGUGUUGUAGUGAACAUCAUGCUGCGUGAGGGUAUUCUUAACAGCGACAAAAUUAAACAUUUUAGCAAAAUAGAGAGUCAGUGAUGUAAUGAACAUCAUGGCGUCCUGAUGUGAGAGGAAAGGAGGAUAGGAACAGAAGAAAGAGGCGUGGCAAGAAGAGGAAGGAAGGCAGCGGCGGCACGGAGAGGAGGACCGGGGACGGCAAUGACGUUCUCCGAUCCCUGUGGUUCUUCAGGCACACAUUUCUUUUAUACUGUCAUCACACAAGUAUUGUAUUACAUGAUACACAUGUCUUCCCGAUGUUAACUUAUUUGAAAAUGCAUCUUACAUCUAAUCAAACAGAGGCACCAUGAUCCUCGGAGGCUGUAGGUAUUGACCUGCCUCGAGGAGAGACUAACACUUCAGCUAUUACCAUGGAGCUACCUCUCAAUGAAAUUUUCCUGUUAUGCAGUCUUAUUUUAAAAUUGCCUUAGCCAUGGCACCCAUGCCUAUAGUAUUACUCCCGACGACUCUCACGACGCCCACGCCCAUGCUGCCCAUAGCAACGCCCCCAGCGUGGCCCCUCGUGAUUCCCGGCCGCCUGUCUACGACCCAGGUCAGAACUAUGUCCCUGUAGCCGCCGGCUCAGUAUCGGCCGGCUUGAAGUUUCUGUACUUUUAUUUUGUAGCUGGUUUCUUGUUAUGUUCUUAUCAUGACGGGCCCCAGAUAGGGUUACA